rnacentral:lncRNA from 1 species
UUGCUGCACUUAGUAUAGGUGCAGUCUUCCACUGGAUGGGAGAUGAUUUUCUGUUAAAGGUUCAUGGUUCUGUUUCAAAAUCUGUAGGUCCCAGGUUGAUUUACUGAGGCGAAACUGAGUCAAAUUAUAGGACGCAACUUUGCAAACAUGUUUUGAUUGCUUGGAGCUACAGAGCUCAUUUUGGAUAGUGUGCUAGUGUGUAAAGGGAAGGUGUUUCUCAAAUGUGCUUUUGUAAGUAUGUUUCCCACUGCUGACUAGUUAAGUUAGAAGUCAGUGAACUGAAUUAUCAUAGAGUAGAUUUUGGCCAUUAAUUGUGGUGGAAUGCAGAGUAAAUGAAGGCUUAGGUUUAUAGCCUGCCCAGAACUAGAGGGUGUAUCUUUAAAUUCUGUAACAUCUCUGGUCUCUCACUGGCUGACAGUAUGUCUUGUUAUCCGCUUCUAGAGUACGGCUCCCUUGCGUAAGGCCUUAAGCAUAUGUGUUGAUCAGCCGCAAGUUAACAAUUUUGAAUUAAACUGAAUGGUGUUGCUGCAGGGAGCCUCUGGGAGUCCAAGGGUGGAGAGAUCUGCCUUCAUCUGAAGAUCUCUGCUAAAGAAUCCUUUAGAGCAUUACAUUCCCCUGUUUGGAGUGUGGACAAGCGUUUGGCAUUCUGCUUCUACAGGUAACUUUUUGAAUUAAAGUGCACAUUUUGUUGUCCAGGGGGUUGAUAAAAGGAGAGCAAUUCCAGAAUGAUGUUAGUAUGUCCUCCCCUGUUGUCUCAG